UGGGGAAUAUUGCACAAUGGGCGCAAGCCUGAUGCAGCCAUGCCGCGUGUAUGAAGAAGGCCUUCGGGUUGUAAAGUACUUUCAGCGAGGAGGAAGGCGUUGUGGUUAAUAACCGCAACGAUUGACGUUACUCGCAGAAGAAGCACCGGCUAACUCCGUGCCAGCAGCCGCGGUAAUACGGAGGGAGCAAGCGUUAAUCGGAAUUAAUGGGCGUAAAGCGCACGCAGGCGGUCUGUCAAGUCGGAUGUGAAAUCCCCGGGCUCAACCUGGGAACUGCAUCCGAAACUGGCAGGCUAGAGUCUUGUAGAGGGGGGUAGAAUUCCAGGUGUAGCGGUGAAAUGCGUAGAGAUCUGGAGGAAUACCGGUGGCGAAGGCGGCCCCCUGGACAAAGACUGACGCUCAGGUGCGAAAGCGUGGGGAGCAAACA
rnacentral:rRNA from 1 species